AUUGAACGCUGGCGGCAUGCCUUACACAUGCAAGUCGAACGGCAGCACGGAGCUUGCUCUGGUGGCGAGUGGCGAACGGGUGAGUAAUAUAUCGGAACGUACCCAAGAGUGGGGGAUAACGUAGCGAAAGUUACGCUAAUACCGCAUACGAUCUAAGGAUGAAAGCAGGGGACCGCAAGGCCUUGUGCUCCUGGAGCGGCCGAUAGCUGAUUAGCUAGUUGGUGAGGUAAAGGCUCACCAAGGCAUCGAUCAGUAGCUGGUCUGAGAGGACGACCAGCAACACUGGAACUGAGACACGGUCCAGGCUCCUACGGGAGGCAGCAGUGGGGAAUUUUGGACAAUGGGGGCAACCCUGAUCCAGCAAUGCCGCGUGAGUGAAGAAGGCCUUCGGGUUGUAAAGCUCUUUUGUCAGGGAAGAAACGGUGAAGGCUAAUAUCCUUUGCUAAUGACGGUACCUGAAGAAUAAGCACCGGCUAACUACGUGCCAGCCGCCGCAGUAA
rnacentral:rRNA from 1 species